rnacentral:tRNA from 1 species
ACCUGGCUGGCUCAGUUGUAGAGCAUGUGACCCUUGAUCUCAGGGUCGUGGGUUCGAGCCCCACACCGAGGG